GUGCCAGCAGCCGCGGUAAGACGAAGGGGGCUAGCGUUGUUCGGAAUUACUGGGCGUAAAGCGAGUGUAGGCGGUUGCCCAAGUCAGGUGUGAAAGCCUUGAGCUCAACUCAAGAAAUGCACUUGGUACUGGGUGGCUAGAGGACCGGAGAGGAUAGUGGAAUUCCCAGUGUAGUGGUGAAAUACGUAGAGAUUGGGAAGAACACCAGUGGCGAAGGCGGCUAUCUGGACGGUUACUGACGCUAAGACUCGAAAGCGUGGGGAGCAAACAGGAUUAGAAACCCCCGUAGUCC
rnacentral:rRNA from 1 species